rnacentral:RNase_P_RNA from 1 species
CGAGUCGGCCGGGUGAUCGCGGCAGCAAUGCCGAGGAAAGUCCGGACUCCACAGAGCAGGGUGGUGGGUAACGCCCACCCGGGGUGACCCGCGGGACAGUGCCACAGAGAACAGACCGCCCACCAAGGCGCCGGGUUCGCCCGGUGACCGGUGGGUCAGGGUGAAACGGUGGUGUAAGAGACCACCAGCACCCCCGGUGACGGGGGUGGCUCGGUAAACCCCACCCGGAGCAAGACCAAGAAGGGCUUCGGCCCGCGGACGCCGUUCGAGCGCUGCUCGCGCGAGGCGUCCGGGUAGGUCGCACGACAUCGCCGGCCGGUGGCCGGUGGAUCGAAGGCGGUUGGUGACAGCCGUCGCAGAUGGAUGAUCGCCGCCUCCUCCGGGAGGUACAGAAUCCGGCUUACAGGCCGACUCGUCCC